rnacentral:rRNA from 1 species
AUGGAGUUCAAUGUUCACCUCCGUGCUACUGAUGGUGAUCCUCUCCCUGACCCGACGCGUUAUCGUCAUCUCGUUGGCAGUCUUGUCUAUCUAGCUGUCACUCGUCCGGACAUCUCUUAUCCGGUUCAUAUUCUGAGUCAGUUUGUCUCUGCUCCCACAUCGGUUCACUAUAGUCAUCUCCUUCGUGUUCUCCGAUAUCUUCGGGACACGAUCUCUCACCGUCUAUUCUUUCCUUGCUCCAGUUCUUUACAGCUCCAGGCCUAUUCGGAUGCUACGUGGGCUAGUGAUCCUUCCGAUCGCCGUUCACUUUCUGCUUACUGUGUUUUUCUUGGCGGUUCUCUCAUUGCUUGGAAGACGAAGAAAUAG